AUGUUAGCUUCAGCAGCACAUAUACUAAAAUUAGGACAUACAGAGAAGAUUAGCAUGGCCUCAGCACAAGGAUGACACACAAAUUUGUGAAGCAUUCCAAAUUUUU